GAUUAAGUUAUUAAGGGCGCACGGUGGAUGCCUUGGCACUAGAAGCCGAUGAAGGACGUUACUA
rnacentral:rRNA from 1 species